UACGUAGGGGGCAAGCGUUGUCCGGAUUUAUUGGGCGUAAAGAGCGUGUAGGCGGCCAGAUAGGUCCGUUGUGAAAACUCGAGGCUCAACCUCGAGACGCCGAUGGAAACCAUUUGGCUAGAGUCCGGAAGAGGAGAGUGGAAUUCCUGGUGUAGCGGUGAAAUGCGCAGAUAUCAGGAGGAACACCGAUUGCGAAGGCAGCUCGCUGGGACGUAACUGACGCUGAGACGCGAAAGCGUGGGGAGCAAACAGG
rnacentral:rRNA from 1 species